CCGCCGCGCCCUCCCCCG
rnacentral:miRNA from 1 species